rnacentral:lncRNA from 1 species
UUUAAAUUAUUUAUUUCAAAUAUACAAAAAUAUAUUUUUUUUUGAAAAAAAAAUAAUUUUUCUCAAAAAAAAAAAAAACUGAUAUUGUUUUAUUAAAAAAAAGUAAAAAACUUUUUUAAAAAAAUAAAUUUCAAAGAAAAAUUUUAAAGGAAAAAAAAAUGGAUGGAUGGAUAUCCAUCAACUAAAAAUAUGAUAAUGGAUGGAUU